ACAGAAAGGGAUUGUGAAAUUCCAAGAAUAGAAUAGUUUAGUUAAGUCUAGUUUAGUUUUUGUGUUGAUCGGAAGCCUGCGAGCGAGCAUGAGCUUCCGAUU
rnacentral:sRNA from 1 species